rnacentral:rRNA from 1 species
AUUGAACGCUGGCGGCAGGCCUAACACAUGCAAGUCGAGCGGAUGAGAAGAGCUUGCUCUUCGAGUUAGCGGCGGACGGGUGAGUAAUGCCUAGGAAUCUGCCUGGUAGUGGGGGACAACGUUUCGAAAGGAACGCUAAUACCGCAUACGUCCUACGGGAGAAAGCAGGGGACCUGCGGGCCUUGCGCUAUCAGAUGAGCCUAGGUCGGAUUAGCUAGUUGGUGAGGUAAUGGCUCACCAAGGCGACGAUCCGUAACUGGUCUGAGAGGAUGAUCAGUCACACUGGAACUGAGACACGGUCCAGACUCCUACGGGAGGCAGCAGUGGGGAAUAUUGGACAAUGGGCGAAAGCCUGAUCCAGCCAUGCCGCGUGUGUGAAGAAGGUCUUCGGAUUGUAAAGCACUUUAAGUUGGGAGGAAGGGCAGUAAGCGAAUACCUUGCUGUUUUGACGUUACCGACAGAAUAAGCACCGGCUAACUCUGUGCCAGCCGCCGCUGUAACAC